rnacentral:rRNA from 1 species
AGUUUGAUCCUGGCUCAGGACGAACGCUGGCGGCACGCUUAACACAUGCAAGUCGAACGGAGAACAUUGAGCUUGCUUAAUGUUCUUAGUGGCGGACGGGUGAGUAACACGUGAGUAACCUGCCUCUGAGAGUGGGUAUCUUUUGGGAAACCGGUUGGUAAACCCCCCCAUACCACUCAGGGUUUCGCAUUUUUCUAAAAACAAAAAUUUCUUCCCUCAAGAGAUGGCCUCGGUUCUGAUUAGCUUAGUUGGAAAGGUACCGCUCUCCACAAGGCGACCUACCAGUCCCCGGAUUGAGAGGUUUAUCCGCCCACUUUGGGAUUUGAACCCCGGCCCCAAAUCUCUUAGGGGGAGCCACCAGUGGGGAAUUUUGCCACAAGGGGGGAAACCCUUGAUGGCAGGGAUCCCGCGUGGGAGAAAAAAGGUUUUGGGAUUGUAAACUCCUGUUGAAGAGGACGAUAAUGACGGUACUCUUUUAGAAAGCUCCGGCUAACUACGUGCCAGCAGCCGCGGUAAUACGUAGGGAGCGAGCGUUGUCCGGAAUUACUGGGUGUAAAGGGAGCGUAGGCGGGAUGGCAAGUCAGAUGUGAAAACUAUGGGCUCAACCCAUAGACUGCAUUUGAAACUGUUGUUCUUGAGUGAGGUAGAGGUAAGCGGAAUUCCUGGUGUAGCGGUGAAAUGCGUAGAGAUCAGGAGGAACAUCGGUGGCGAAGGCGGCUUACUGGGCCUUUACUGACGCUGAGGCUCGAAAGCGUGGGGAGCAAACAGGAUUAGAUACCCUGGUAGUCCACGCCGUAAACGAUGAUUACUAGGUGUGGGGGGACUGACCCCUUCCGUGCCGCAGUUAACACAAUAAGUAAUCCACCUGGGGAGUACGGCCGCAAGGUUGAAACUCAAAGGAAUUGACGGGGGCCCGCACAAGCAGUGGAGUAUGUGGUUUAAUUCGAAGCAACGCGAGGAACCUUACCAGGUCUUGACAUCGAGUGACGUACCUAGAGAUAGGUAUUUUCUUCGGAACACAAAGACAGGUGGUGCAUGGUUGUCGUCAGCUCGUGUCGUGAGAUGUUGGGUUAAGUCCCGCAACGAGCGCAACCCUUACCAUUAGUUGCUACGCAAGAGCACUCUAAUGGGACUGCCGUUGACAAAACGGAGGAAGGUGGGGAUGACGUCAAAUCAUCAUGCCCCUUAUGACCUGGGCUACACACGUACUACAAUGGCAAUAUAACAGAGGGAAGCAAUACAGCGAUGUGGAGCAAAUCCCCAAAAAUUGUCCCAGUUCAGAUUGCAGGCUGCAACUCGCCUGCAUGAAGUCGGAAUUGCUAGUAAUCGCAGAUCAGCAUGCUGCGGUGAAUACGUUCCCGGGCCUUGCACACACCGCCCGUC